rnacentral:lncRNA from 1 species
UUUCAUUUUACUUUGUCUCCUGCAAAUAGUUUACAGCAAUGAGGAUCAGAAUAAACAUUCCAAGAGUGCAAAAGAUCUACAAAUACAGAACAAUCGAAUGCCAAAAGGUUACUGCUGGAGAAUCAAAUUCUAUAUUCCAAGGAAACUUUUGUCUGGAACCUCAAACUAUAUCAC